GUAGAAGUKUGAUCMUGRYCCWGKWYGAACGCYGGMGGYGYGCGUAAYACAUGCAAGUCGAACGAACUCUGGUAUUGAUUGGUGCUUGCAUCAUGAUUUACAUUUGAGYGAGUGGCGAAYUGGUGAGUAACACGUGGGWAACCUGCCCAGAAGCGGKGGAUMACACYUGGAAACAGAUGYUAAUACCGCAUAACAACUUKGACCGCAUGGUCCGAGUUUGAAAGAUGGCUUCGGCUAUCACUUUUGGAUGGUCCCGCGGCGUAUUAGCUAGAUGGUGRGGUAACGGCUCACCAUGGCAAUGAUACGUAGCCGACCUGAGAGGGUAAUCGGCCACAUUGGGACUGAGACACGGCCCAAACUCCUACGGGAGGCAGCAGUAGGGAAUCUUCCACAAUGGACGAAAGUCUGAUGGAGCAACGCCGCGUGAGUGAAGAAGGGUUUCGGCUCGUAAAACUCUGUUGUUAAAGAAGAACAUAUCUGAGAGUAACUGUUCAGGUAUUGACGGUAUUUAACCAGAAAGCCACGGCUAACUACGUGCCAGCAGCCGCGGUAAUACGUAGGUGGCAAGCGUUGUCCGGAUUUAUUGGGCGUAAAGCGAGCGCAGGCGGUUUUUUAAGUCUGAUGUGAAAGCCUUCGGCUCAACCGAAGAAGUGCAUCGGAAACUGGGAAACUUGAGUGCAGAAGAGGACAGUGGAACUCCAUGUGUAGCGGUGAAAUGCGUAGAUAUAUGGAAGAACACCAGUGGCGAAGGCGGCUGUCKGUCUGUAACGACGCGAGGU
rnacentral:rRNA from 1 species